rnacentral:rRNA from 1 species
UACGGAGGGGCGAGCGUUAUUCGGAAUUAUUGGGCGUAAAGGGCGCGUAGGCGGCUGUACAAGUCAAAGGUGAAAUCCCUCGGCUCAACUGAGGAACUGCCUUUGAAACUGUACGGCUUGAGGCCGGGAGGGGUAGCGGAAUUCCCAAUGUAGCGGUGAAAUGCGUAGAUAUUGGGAGGAACACCAGUGGCGAAGGCGGCUACCUGGACCGGUUCUGACGCUGAGGCGCGAAAGCGUGGGUAGCAACAGG